rnacentral:rRNA from 1 species
AGUGUCUGGUGGGUAGUUUGACUGGGGCGGUCUCCUCCUAAAGAGUAACGGAGGAGCACGAAGGUUGGCUAAUCCUGGUCGGACAUCAGGAGGUUAGUGCAAUGGCAUAAGCCAGCUUGACUGCGAGCGUGACGGCGCGAGCAGGUGCGAAAGCAGGUCAUAGUGAUCCGGUGGUUCUGAAUGGAAGGGCCAUCGCUCAACGGAUAAAAGGUACUCCGGGGAUAACAGGCUGAUACCGCCCAAGAGUUCAUAUCGACGGCGGUGUUUGGCACCUCGAUGUCGGCUCAUCACAUCCUGGGGCUGAAGUAGGUCCCAAGGGUAUGGCUGUUCGCCAUUUAAAGUGGUACGCGAGCUGGGUUUAGAACGUCGUGAGACAGUUCGGUCCCUAUCUGCCGUGGGCGCUGGAGAACUGAGGGGGGCUGCUCCUAGUACGAGAGGACCGGAGUGGACGCAUCACUGGUGUUCGGGUUGUCAUGCCAAUGGCACUGCCCGGUAGCUAAAUGCGGAAGAGAUAAGUGCUGAAAGCAUCUAAGCACGAAACUUGCCCCGAGAUGAGUUCUCCCUGACUCCUUGAGAGUCCUGAAGGAACGUUGAAGACGACGACGUUGAUAGGCCGGGUGUGUAAGCGCAGCGAUGCGUUGAGCUAACCGGUACUAAUGAACCGUGAGGCUUAACCUUACAAC